rnacentral:lncRNA from 1 species
UAUGGAUAUUUAACAUUAAAAUAUCACAUUUCUUCCUAUACAAUUCCAAUGAAUGGUUAUGGACAGCAAAGUGAAACAAGAGGGACUGAAUAACUGAUAUAUACAUAGAAGAAUAAUGGUCAACAUGGAGGGUAAAAAGGCAGCAAGAAGAAGACACAUUUCAUCAACUUUUGGGAGACCGGAGUUGUCUGGGCUGUUUCAUAGUUCUUCACAUGCUUACAUUGAAG